rnacentral:rRNA from 1 species
GACGAACGCUGGCGGCGUGCUUAACACAUGCAAGUCGAACGGAAAGGCCCUGCUUUUGUGGGGUGCUCGAGUGGCGAACGGGUGAGUAACACGUGAGUAACCUGCCCUUGACUUUGGGAUAACUUCAGGAAACUGGGGCUAAUACCGGAUAGGAGCUCCUGCUGCAUGGUGGGGGUUGGAAAGUUUAGGCGGUUGGGGAUGGACUCGCGGCUUAUCAGCUUGUUGGUGGGGUAGUGGCUUACCCAGGCUUCGACGGGUAGCCGGCCUGAGAGGGGGACCGGCCACAUGGGGACUAAGAGACGGCCCAGACUCGUACGGGAGGCAGCAGUGGGGAAUAUUGCACAGUGGGCGGGAGCCUGAUACAGCAGCGCCGCGUGCGGGAUGACGGCCUUCGGGUUGUAAACCGCUUUCGCCUGUGACGAAGCGUGAGUGACGGUAAUGGGUGAAGAAGCACCGGCUAACUACGUG